CCCCCCCCCGGGGGGGGGGGCCCGUGGGGUUUAAUUUUUAAAUACAACCCGGGAAAAAACUUACCCGGUUCGAAAACAAAAGUUGUUAGAACAGAUUGUUGGCUCUUUCUUGAAUAUAAGGGGUGGUGGUGCAUGGCCGUUUUUAGUUCGUGGAGUGAUUGUCUGGGUAAUUCCGAUAACGAACGAGACUCAAAUAUAUUAAAUAGAUAUCUUCAGGAUUAUGGUGUUGAAGCUUAUAUAGCCUUCAUUCAUGGUGGCAGUAAAAUGUUUAUUGUGUUUGAAUGUGUUUAUGUAAGUGGAGCCGUACCUGUUGGUUUGUCCCAUUAUAAGGAUACUAGCUUUUUAAAUGGACAAAUUGCGUCUAGCAAUAAUGAGAUUGAGCAAUAACAGGUCUGUGAUGCUCUUAGAUGUCCUGGGCUGCACGCGCGCUACAAUGAAAGUAUCAACGUGUAUUUCCUAGACCGAGAGGUCCGGGUAAACCGCUGAACCACUUUCAUGCUUGGGAUUGUGAACUAAAACUGUUCACAUGAACUUGGAAUUCCUAGUAAGUGUGAGUCAUUAACUCGCAUUGAUUACGUCCCUGCCCUUUGUGCACACCGCCCGUCGCUACUACCGAUUGAAUUAUUUAGUGAGGUCUCCGGACGUGAUCACUGUGACGCCUUGCGUGUUACGGUUGUUUCGCAGAAGUUGACCGAACUUGAUUAUUUAGAGGAAGUAAAAGUCGUAACAAGGUUUCCGUACGUGAACCUGCGGAAGGAUCAUUA
rnacentral:ncRNA from 1 species